ACGAGCAGGCCACAGCAAUGCCACGUGUCAUCUGAGAGCAAAAACAAAACAAAAAAAAAUUAACCAGAGCUGGACCUUAUCUGAGCCAGAAUCACAGAAGGAACGAAAACAGAAAAAGAGACAAACAGAAAUACAAGAACUACAACUGAUUGACCAGAUUGACUUUAUUUCUGUCAGGCAUCUACAAAAGUUUUUAAGCACAAACCAUUACAACACUUUCAGAACCUUAUUGUGUUGUUGUUCAUUUCCUAUCAAAUACGUUAAGUACAACAUUAACAGGUAAAUGAAAAAUAAAGAAUAUUAAAUACAUAUAUAAUGUGUGUGUGUACAGUUAAACAGGAAAAAUUACGCCUGUAAUUGCAAAAUGAAGGUUUAUAAUAGACCCCUCCUCACUAAGAUAAAAGUUUUUGUCGUUUUCUCGCUCAGAGUUGUUCUCAGAUUGGUCCUGAAUCGCUCUUAAGCUAAGACUCCUACGUAGAAAUUGAAGCUAAAUUAGGAGCUUUCUGAGAGGAUUCUUAGAAGCUUUACGAAAGCGGGCCCAGAUCACUUUAAACAAACUUUUUAUUUAUGUAUUUUUAUUUAUUCAAACGUUCACUGAUGCUUCAGAAGUUCUCACCCCCCAGCUCUUAAUGCAUCGUGUUUCCUUCUGAAGCAUCAGUGAAUGUUUCAACCUUUUUUAAUAGUUGUGUUUGAGUCCCUCAGUUGUCCUCAGUGUGAAAAGGUGGAUCUCAAAAUCAUUCAGUCACUGUUGUAAAGGGUUCAAAUAUGCAAAAGAUGGUGGAAAACUGAAGAAUUUUUGGGACCUGGAGAUUUUUUUCUGAAGAACAGAGCUCAGUUUAACUGCUCAGAAUAAACAAGAGACUCAUGAACAACCAUCACAAAACAAAAAAACAGUUGUAGAUCAUCCAGGUAACCACACACAGUAUUAAGAAUCAAUGGUUCACAAACUUUUGAACUGGGUCAUUUUAAUAAAUUCAGCUAUUUUUUUUUUUUUUUUUGUCUUGUGAAUUAUAUGUAAACAUCUUUUAUGUAAAAUAUCUUACUUAGGACAGUACUAAAUAAAAAAAAUAACAUGCAUUUUGUAUGGUCUCUCUUAUUUUAUUAAAAUUUUGCACAUUUUCACAGAUUCUGCAAGUGGUUCACAUACUUUUUCUUGCAACUGUAUAACAUAACAAAGCCCUGUUUACUGAAAUCACGUGACUUUGGCAGUUUGAUACGCGCUCCGAACCACUGAUUUGAAACAAAAGAUUCGUAAAGCUUCUUAAAGCAGUGUUUUGAAACCGCCCAUCACUAGAUUUUGUUUAAUAAAGUCGUUAUUUUGUUUUUUUGGUGCACAAAAAGUAUUCUCGUCACUUCAUAACAUUAAGGUUGAACCACUGUAGUCACAUGAACUAUUUUAAAUAUGUCUUUAGUAGCUUUCUGGGCAUUUGAAAGUGUUAUCUUGCUGUCAAUGGAGGCCUCACUGAGCCAUCAGAUUUUAUCAAAAAUAUCUUAAUUUGUGUUCUGAAGAUGAACGAAGGUCUUACGGGUGUGGAACAACAUGAGGGUGAGUGAUUAAUGACAGAAUUUUCAUUUUUGGGUGAACUAACCCUUUAAAUUAAUCGUUCAUCUGAACAGUGCACAUGCAUUUUAGACACUCAUGUUGUGUUCUGCACUCCAUCUAUGAAAUAAAUGCACAUCCUUGAAUGACCACCUUGUUUUGAUAUCCUUUAGGGUGGAUCAAACAAUAGAAAGUCAUAAAACUUUAAAAUGCACUCACAAAUGUCAACUGUCAGCUGUCUGUCACACAGCCGCUAGCCAUGUAACGACGCUCGGCUGCCACGUCUGGGAUUGGGAUACUUUUACACUUGUGCUGUGAUUACGCUACUUUUGGGAUGGUUUUGUUGCGCAGACCUGGCAACCUUCCACUCCAAAGCCCCACCCCUUUCAUGCACUCCGAAGUGCGCAGCCCCUGAAUUGGGACACAGCUAAGGAGUAUCUCCGGUGCUGGAAUAAUAAAGAUAGAGGUGAAAGUCUGUCAAGGGAGAUGUCGAAAUGACUCUGUGAACAUUCCUGAAAUACACUGGAUAUUUUUCAGGCUCCUGUUUCUCAAAAUCAUUAAACAGAACCAGAGUGAACUUAAACACUUGAGCUCCAAAAUUCUCCUGAAUUUGCUCCACAACAUUCCUCUCAUCCUCUAUGAAGUCUUCCAGGUUGAUGAUGAGCAGGAACAUGUGAGGACCAGGAUCAGAGAGAUACAGACUCUUCAUCAUCUGCUUCUUCAUCUCUUCAUCAGUCAGACAAUGUUUUACAACAAUAAUCAUGGAAAUAUCUGGUAAGUGUUUUUUUUUUUUUUUUUUGUAAAACAUUUAAGGAAAAUUAGGAUAUGAAUUGGGAUAUUUUACCCAAUUUUAUUUUAUUUUUUUUUUUAUUUUUUUUUUAACAAUCUUUAACCAUUAUUUUCAUUAAUGGUCAACAUUUGGCACACUGUGCUGCCAUGCAUUUCACUUUUUUAUGUUUAUUUUUUAUUUAUUUAUUUUUUUUACAGUGCAGAUUUUACCUAAAAAAAAAAAUAUAUUUUUUAAGAGAAGGCAGAGUAUGGAGUGUCGCGACACGUAAGACUCAUUUACUGCAUUACCACCACUAAAUGUGUAGUAUUAUUUUAUAAUAGGUACUAUGUAAUACUGAAUGAUAAUGUAUAUUGUCUAAAGAAAAUAAUAUCAAUGUUUUCUUUCUUUGGCUUUCAACUUAUAAGAUUUGAAUGACUAUGACUGCCAUGCACUAUGAUGCUUAUAUAAUGCGUUUUUAUGAAUAAAGAGGAAAUUAAUAAUUUAAUUAUAAUUAUUGCAUUGUAUUGUUGUUUAAUGAAAAAAUAAUGUGUUCUCUAUAUGGCUUCCAGGUGUCACCAAAAUAAUUGCACUUGAAUUGUAAUGAUUUAUGACUGCUGUGAAUGCCUAAUAAUGAUAACAUGUUUUAAAGAAAGAAGGUAAACGAAAUAUAAAGAUUUUAAUAAAUAAAUUCAUUUGUUCUAUGGCUUCCAGAUUUCAACAGUUAAAUUGCAGUUACAUUUUUACUGACUAUAGAGAACUGACAGUGAAACAUUCACCCCUGAUAUCUUUUCCUGUAAAUCAGGGCUUUCUGUUUGCUUUCGGUUUCACUUUAGCAAAAAAACAACAACAAAAAAACAAAAAAAAACUACAGAAUUCAAAGUUCUUUUAUACUGAUUACAUAAAGGGAACAGAAGGGAGAAUUAUAAGACGUGUGUUAUGAUUUUACGGUAGUGUGGCACAUAUGCAAGAAUGCCAAAUAUAAAUAAAAAUAAUGACAGACAACAUUUGCUUGCUUGGCAUUUCCCAUUUCAACAAAAGGCAGGAGAAAACUUUCUUUGACAGUAAUAUAAUAACAAGGUGAACAGGUUUCUGAAAUGAAAACCAGGGACAUUUCCUAGUUCAGUGCUCAAAAUAUCACUGAAAUCUAACUUAUGUUGAAAAUGGAAACAAUACAUACAUUUUUAUGUUUUUGUUUUUAAAGGGGUUUUAUAGUGCCACUUUUACA